rnacentral:lncRNA from 1 species
GCGGUAUUUAUCAGAUGAAGAUGUUCUAAAAAUAUUAUGUAUGUCUUGAAGACACGCACAGCAUAGUUCAGAAAAUUCACAUAUCAAUAGGUCAUGAUGGUAGGGAUAAAAUGGUAUUAAAAAUGCGCAAACAGAAAGUGUGCAAACUUUACAAGGAACUUUAAGACAUACAUCGAAAAGCGGGGCAAUUAUGUAACAGUAGAUGUCACCCAAACUUGCCAUGCGAAAAUAAG